CAGAAUCUGUACAGAGCAUCUGUGAUGUGUCUUGUAACAUAGGUAUGGUGCAGUUCUAAGAGAUCCUUAAAGUAGACGAGCACAGCAGUUCUGUCCUCGGUUGACAUAGCGCCAAGGGAUAGCAUCACAAGAUUCAAAGGCCAAACAGGGGAGUUCCUCGAAAAUUUUGCAGUGUAUCGUGAACACACAAACCUGCUUGUUCUCUUACCUGUCCGAAAGACCCGUUAGCAUUUAUCACCAUUCCAGUUUCAUCUAAACCUCCAAAAAUCCUUAGUUUCAAGAUCAUAACCGCAGCAGCGGUAAUGUACCUACCUCGAUGCUGGAGACAUAAGCGAAGCUGAACAAGAGCCUGAAGGGUUUGGAAACUUGUGACCAGUUGUUGACGCAGUUAGUGCUGCUAAUGAGCAACUGAGCUAUGCAUUUAACUCCUGUGCAGGCG